ACAGGAAUUAUUGCCAUCACAUUGGCGUUUUACAUAUGUCACGAAGUUCACCUAGCUGGUUUUAAAUACAACUUUUCUGACCUCAAGAGUCCUUUGCACUACUAUGGGAAUGCCACCAUGUCUUUGAUGAAUAAGAACGCGUAUCACAAUGUGACUGCAGAGCAGCUCUUUUUGAAGGACAUUAUAGAAAAAAACCUCGUAAUCAACUUGACUCAAGAUUGACUCUACAGACUCAGAAGAUGAUGCUAACAGUGAAUUACAAGAGACUUUGCAGAAGGGUAAAAAUGGUGAGAACUGAAGAGUAAUGCCAUUGUUCUAACAGUGUCGGGGAGUUCACCUGGGCCAGAGAAUGACUCUUUUUUCACUACUGCCCCCUGUAGGGGAGCGACAUCCCUCUGAUAGAAAUGAGAUGCAAAGACCACGUGAGUUACCUGCCCGGUCCCAGUAAGGAGAAAUCAACAUCUCAUGGAAGAAGUUUCAGUGUACACUCCUGCCUUUAGUCCAACAUACAAACCAUUACAAGAGGAUGCAAUUUAUCCCUGUUUUCUUUUUUAAAGUAUGAAAGAGAGAAUUCACAAACACUAAAUCUUUCUAAAGGUAUAACAUGGUAAAGGAAUGAAAGGGUCUGCAUAAAAUAAUCUAGAAAAAAAAAAAAAAAA
rnacentral:lncRNA from 1 species